GUGAGUAUAGUGGCGAACGGGUGAGUAACGCGUGGGAAACCUGCCCUUCAGUGGGGGAUAACAGGCCUAACGGCCUGCUAAUACCGCAUGUGUCCCCGGAGCCGCAUGGUUCCGGGAAGAAAGGUGGCCUCUCCUUGGAAGCUGCCGCUGAAGGAUGGUCCCGCGUCCCAUUAGCUUGUUGGCGGGGUAGUGGCCCACCAAGGCGACGAUGGGUAGCCGGCCUGAGAGGGUGUCCGGCCACACUGGGACUGAGAUACGGCCCAGACUCCUACGGGAGGCAGCAGUCGAGAAGCUUCGGCAAUGGGCGAAAGCCUGACCGAGCGACGCCGCGUGAGCGAUUGAAGGCCCUAUGGGUUGUAAAGCUCUGUCAGAUUGGGAAGAAAACUUCGGGGCGAAUACCCUCGAAGCUUGACGGUACCGUCAGAGGAAGCACCGGCUAACUCCGUGCCAGCAGCCGCGGUAAUACGGAGGGUGCAAGCGUUGUUCGGAUUCACUGGGUAUAAAGGGUGCGCAGGCGGCCUGAUAAGUCAGGGGUUAAAUGUGACGGCUCAACCGUCAACCCGCCCCUGAAACUGUCUGGCUUGAGUCCGGGAGAGGAAGGUGGAAUUCCUGGUGUAGCGGUGAAAUGCGUAAAUAUCAGGAGGAACACCGAUGGCGAAGGCAGCCUUCUGGCCCGGUUCUGACGCUCAUGCACGAAAGCCAGGGGAGCAAACGGGAUUAGAUACCCCGGUAGUCCUGGCCGUAAACGAUGGGCACUAGGUGUUGGAGGAGUCUACCCCUUCAGUGCCGCAGCUAAUGCAUUAAGUGCCCCACCUGGGGAGUACGAUCGCAAGGUUGAAACUCAAAGGAAUUGACGGGGGCCCGCACAAGCGGUGGAGCAUGUGGUUUAAUUCGAUGCAACGCGAAGAACCUUACCUGGGCUUGACAUGCAGGGGGACAGGUGCGGAAACGUAUCCUUUC
rnacentral:rRNA from 1 species